AGGUACAUAUAAAUACUCACACUAAAUAUUUAUUCACAUAUAACUUAUAGUUUGGUGCCUAAAAAGCUAGUAAUAUGUUCAAAUAUUUAACAGUAUUGUUUUUGGCUUUGGCUAUCAGCCACUACACCUUUGCUGAACCCGAUGGUACUUGUCCUGAAGAGGACCCUACGGAUGGUCCAGGAACCUAUCUUGCAGACAAGUCAAACUGUGCCGGAUUCUACGCAUGCGUAGGAGGAAAUCCCAUCCAGAUGUACUGCGCUCCAGGAUCCUAUUGGAAUCCAGAAGACAAUUAUUGUGAGAUUGGCGCCACACAUGCUAAUUGUGGAACAAGACCCACCACUCCUAAGGCUUAAACUGAUAAAAGAUGGUAGAAAAUUAUCGUAAACAUUUUUUAACUAAUAAAGUUGAUGCAAAUCAAAAUUA